rfam:Felis catus isolate Cinnamon breed Abyssinian chromosome D2, whole genome shotgun sequence.
GCCUGGGUGGCUCAGUUGGUUGAGCAUCUGACUCUUGAUUUUGGCUCAGGUCAUGAUCUCACAGUUUGUGAGUUCCAGCCCCACAUCAGGCU